UCUUGGUCAUUAGAGGAAGUAAAAGUCGUAACAAGGUUUCCGUAGGUGAACCUGCGGAAGGAUCAUUAUUGAAUUUUAAUGAAGAGUUUGGUUGUAGCUGGUCUAUUUAUUUAGGCAUGUGCACACCUCCCUCUUUCAUCCCACACACACCUGUGAACUUGUGAGACAGUUGGGGAAUUUAUUUGUUAUUUUUUGUAAUAAAAUGAUAAUAAAUCAUUGAACCCUUCUGUCUACUCAACUCAUAUAAAAUCAAUUUAUUUUAAAUGAAUGUAAUGGAUGUAACACAUCUCAUACUAAGUUUCAACAACGGAUCUCUUGGCUCUCGCAUCGAUGAAGAACGCAGCGAAAUGCGAUAAGUAAUGUGAAUUGCAGAAUUCAGUGAAUCAUCGAAUCUUUGAACGCACCUUGCGCUCCUUGGUAUUCCUUGGAGCAUGCCUGUUUGAGUAUCAUGAAAUCUUCAAAAUCAAUCUUUUUGUUAACUCAAUUAGUUUGAUCUUGGUAUUGGAGGUCUAUUGCAGCUUCACACCUGCUCCUCUUUGUGUAUUAGCUGGAUCUCAGUGUUAUGCUUGGUUCCACUCAGCGUGAUAAAUUAUCUAUCGCUGAGGACACUGUAAAAAGUGGCCAAGGUAAAUGCAGAUGAACCGCUUCUAAUAGUCCAUUGACUUGGACACUAUUAUUAUGAUCUGAUCUCAAAUCAGGUAGGACUACCCGCUGAACUUAAGCAUAUCAAU
rnacentral:rRNA from 1 species